AAGAAUUUCAGGCUACAACGACGAGCUAUACCGACGGUCGGUGCAGAAAUGCAGCUAUAGGGUUAUAUAGUGACGGUCCCUCCUCGACCCUAAGUAAAAUAGCUGAAGAGCAGCCCACUAGCGAGGGUCACCGCUUGACCGCAGGUAUAAGGUAUGUUUUUGAGUAAUCUAUUCCGGUGUAAAGUCCAAUUUUUCACGAAGGUAUUCUACGUUCUCUCUCUCAUCUCCCAUUUUUCUCAUCUCCAAAUCUUAGAUCUUGCCCUUUCUUUCUUGCCAAAUUUCAUCUUCUUUUUCUUCAUCUACAGAUCUCAGAUCUUGCCCUUUCUUCAUUGCCAAAUUUCUUCUUCCCUUUCUUCAUCGCCAAAUUUUGUAGCCAAAUCUUCCUCGAAAAUCUCAGAGCUCAAACAUCCUUGUUCGAUCUCAAAGCUAGCAUUGCUCAUCUAGGGCACUCAAAUCUCAAAGCUCCACACGACUUGAAAUUCAUAUUUAUCUUUCUAAAAUUUCAGGUUUGAAAGUGUGACGACCAAUGACAUUGCCAGAUCCAUUGUCUUUUCGUUGAGAAAAAAAUUCCAAAUCCCCUGUCCUCGACUCUAUUUGUAUAAGUAGAAGGUAUGAAUAAUGUUAGAUUCAAUCAAAUGUAUAAUUCGUUUAAUUUUCUUGGUUUUGAUACAUUCAUGAGAUAGGUCGAUUUGAAUUUGGAUUUUUCUAGGUUAAAUUCAGUUUAUAGACAAUUUUAUGAUGAUUCUGUUUGAUUAAUUAUGUUAUGUUAUGUUUGGCAUUCUAGGGAGAGCUGUAUAUGUCUAUUUCACUUUUGGGCUUUCUUGGUUGUUCCAAAACCUUGUCAUUAUAAUCUUAAACAACUCUUUUGCAAAAAGAAGAAAUUUGAGGUAAUUAUGGAACUAUGUAAAUUUUACAUAAUUUGUAAAUUGUGGAAAUCAAUGGAGUAUCUGAAUUGGGAGAGAAAGAGUACUUUUUAUCUCCUUAUUGUCUUCUGUUGUUUUUUGUAGUGAAUCAUAUUAGUAAUAACUGUGUUUAAGAUCCUUAUAUGGCGACUACUCUUAUAAAGAAGAUAACUUGGGUCAUUUGAAAAUUUUAC
rnacentral:lncRNA from 1 species